rnacentral:lncRNA from 1 species
AUCCCGACCCCUAAACCAUAUAUAUUCUUGAAUGGGACCAUAAAACAAAUCAAAUGAAAUUAAAAGAAGGCCCGGGGGGUCAUCCCCACCCCGUUCAAUUUGAAAAUGUGCUAUUAUCUUGUAAAGGGUCCAGAUCCCCACCCCUAAACCAUAUAUAUUCUUGUAGGGGACAAUAAUACAAAUGAAAUAAAAUAAAAUGGAAGUCCUUAGGGGGUCACCCCACCCCCUCUUGUUUGAAACUUUUUUGUAAACGGUCCAGAUCCCCACCCCUUAACCAUAAAUAUUCUUGAAUGGGACCAUAAAACAAAUCAAAUUAAAUUAAAAGGAGGUCCCCGAGGGUCAUCCCCACCCCAUUCAAUUUGAAAAUGUGCUAUUAUCUUGUAAACGGUCCAGAUCCCCACCCCUAAACCAUAUAUAUUCUUGUAGGGGACAAUAAAACAAAUGAAAUAAAUAUAAAGGGAAGUCCCUAGGGGGUCACCCCCACCCCUCUUGUUUGAAACUUGUAAACGAUCAACAUCCCCACCCCUAAACCAUACAUAUUCUUGUAUGGGACAUAAAAACAAUCACAUGAAAUUAAAUGGAAAGUUCCUGGGGUCACCCCCCCCCCGUUCAAUUGAGAAUGUACUAUUAUCUUGUAAACGGUCCAGAUCCCCACCCCUAAACCAUAUAUAUUCUUGUAGGGGACAAUAAAGCAAAUGAAAUGGAAUAAAAGGGAAGUCCAGAGGGGGUCAACCCACCCCCUUUUGUUUGAAAACUUGUAAACAGUCAACAUCCCCACCCCUAACAAUAUAUUCUUGUAGGGGACAAUAAAACAAAUGAAAUGAAAUAAAAGGGAAGUCCCUAGGGGGUCACCCCACCCCCUCUUGUUUAAAAACUUAUAAACGAUCAACAUCCCCACCCUUAAACCAUAUAUAUUCUUGUAUGGGACAAUAAAGCUAAUCAAAUGAAAUUAAAGGGAAGUGCCUGGGGUCGUCCCCACCCCGUUCAAUUUGAGAAUGUGCUAUAAUCUUGUAAAGCCAUAUAUAUUCUUGUAUGGGACAAAAAAAUCAAAUCAAAUAACAUGGGACCAUAUGAAUGGGGAGUUAUUGGAGCUUUGUUUGGGAGACUUCGUAACAGC